AUGAACGCUAGCUACAGGCUUAACACAUGCAAGUCGAGGGGCAGCAUGGUCUUAGCUUGCUAAGGCCGAUGGCGACCGGCGCACGGGUGAGUAACACGUAUCCAACCUGCCGUCUACUCUUGGACAGCCUUCUGAAAGGAAGAUUAAUACAAGAUGGCAUCAUGAGUCCGCAUGUUCACAUGAUUAAAGGUAUUCCGGUAGACGAUGGGGAUGCGUUCCAUUAGAUAGUAGGCGGGGUAACGGCCCACCUAGUCUUCGAUGGAUAGGGGUUCUGAGAGGAAGGUCCCCCACAUUGGAACUGAGACACGGUCCAAACUCCUACGGGAGGCAGCAGUGAGGAAUAUUGGUCAAUGGGCGAGAGCCUGAACCAGCCAAGUAGCGUGAAGGAUGACUGCCCUAUGGGUUGUAAACUUCUUUUAUAAAGGAAUAAAGUCGGGUAUGGAUACCCGUUUGCAUGUACUUUAUGAAUAAGGAUCGGCUAACUCCGUGCCAGCAGCCGCGGUAAUACGGAGGAUCCGAGCGUUAUCCGGAUUUAUUGGGUUUAAAGGGAGCGUAGAUGGAUGUUUAAGUCAGUUGUGAAAGUUUGCGGCUCAACCGUAAAAUUGCAGUUGAUACUGGAUAUCUUGAGUGCAGUUGAGGCAGGCGGAAUUCGUGGUGUAGCGGUGAAAUGCUUAGAUAUCACGAAGAACUCCGAUUGCGAAGGCAGCCUGCUAAGCUGCAACUGACAUUGAGGCUCGAAAGUGUGCGUAUCAAACAGGAUUAGAUACCCUGGUAGUCCACACGGUAAACGAUGAAUACUCGCUGUUUGCGAUAUACAGCAAGCGGCCAAGCGAAAGCGUUAAGUAUUCCACCUGGGGAGUACGCCGGCAACGGUGAAACUCAAAGGAAUUGACGGGGGCCCGCACAAGCGGAGGAACAUGUGGUUUAAUUCGAUGAUACGCGAGGAACCUUACCCGGGCUUAAAUUGCAGAUGAAUUACGGUGAAAGCCGUAAGCCGCAAGGCAUCUGUGAAGGUGCUGCAUGGUUGUCGUCAGCUCGUGCCGUGAGGUGUCGGCUUAAGUGCCAUAACGAGCGCAACCCUUGUUGUCAGUUACUAACAGGUUCCGCUGAGGACUCUGACAAGACUGCCAUCGUAAGAUGUGAGGAAGGUGGGGAUGACGUCAAAUCAGCACGGCCCUUACGUCCGGGGCUACACACGUGUUACAAUGGGGGGUACAGAGGGCCGCUACCACGCGAGUGGAUGCCAAUCCCCAAAACCUCUCUCAGUUCGGACUGGAGUCUGCAACCCGACUCCACGAAGCUGGAUUCGCUAGUAAUCGCGCAUCAGCCACGGCGCGGUGAAUACGUUCCCGGGCCUUGUACACACCGCCCGUCAAGCCAUGGGAGCCGGGGGUACCUGAAGUGCGUAACCGCGAGGAGCGCCCUAGGGUAAAACUGGUGACUGGGGCU
rnacentral:rRNA from 1 species